rnacentral:lncRNA from 9 species
GAGUAGCUGUCUGGAUAGGAGGGUGGAAGUGAAAUAAGAAAAAAGAUAAGGUUGCUAGCUUGAGUGGUUAUGUAGAUAGUACUGCUACCAAAGUUAGAGUGAAUACAGAAGGAAUCGCAUUUAUUGUGGGAUUAGAUGAAUUUGAAUUUGGAUAUGUGGGACAUUUAUGUAAAGAUAUAUAGCAGAUAAAUACAAGAGGCUGAAGCUUUGAUGAGGUCAGGUGUAUUAUAGAUAUGUAUGUAUAUAUAUAUGCAUACACACAAAUAUAGAUGUGUACAUAUAUAUGUGUAAACACAUGUGUAUGUGGUACAACAAUAUGACAUAAUCAGGAUCGAGAGUUCACGAAAGGCUAAAUUUAAGAUUUAGUUCAAUAAGAAUAAUGUAAGGCUCAGUACACUGAACCAAAAUACCAAAGCAAAACUGAAGAACAGAGGAGACACUGGAGUUCCCUUGUGGCACAGCAGGUUAAGGAUCCAGUGCUGUCACUGCAGUGGCUCUGGUUGCUGCUGAAGUGCAGGCUAGGGGUAGAAUUGGAGCUGUAGCUGCCGGCCUACACCACAGCCAUAGCAAUGCGGAAUCCGAGCCAUGUCUGCGACCUACACUGCAGCUCACGGCAAUGCCAGAUCCUUAACCCACUGAGCGAGGCCAGGGAUUGAACCCAUAUCCUCAUGGAUACCAGUCGGGUUCGUUACCAGUGAGUCACAAUGGGAGCUCCAGUUCUCCAAUCUUGAGAUUUUUGUUAAAUUUUUGCUAUUUAUAGUGAAGUCUGAAAAAUAAAAAAAUGUUCAUACUCUUUGGGUCAGCAGUUCCUUUCUAGGAAUCUACUAUAAAUAAAUAAUAUAUACAAAUAGGAAUUUAAGAGGUCUUCAUGUUGUUUAUAAUAGAAAAAAUGUGAACAAAAGUUUUAACAAUGAGGUUCACUAAUACAGUGGAGUACUUUGCCACCAUUUAUUAACUAUAUUAAAGUUAAUAAUGUAAUUUUAAAUGAAAACAUAGGGUGUAAAAAAACCUGAAGAUUAUGAUUAAUUAACAUGAAGUGUAUGUGUAGAGAAAAAAGGCUAAAAUAAGUAUUAUAAAAUGUGUCCUUUAAUUUUUGACAUUAAAUUUCAAAAGAAUAUAUAAAAGUUACAUACAAAAAGUGACUGAUUUGCUUGGCUUAUCACUAUGAGAAAGAAUAAUUUAGACUUCAAGUGAAUUAACCAUCUUAAUUACAAUAAAAUUCUCUCCUAGGUGUUGUUCUUAUUCCAUUUCUAUUUUACAUUAUCCUGCUGCAUCAUAAACUAAAUGGAUAUAUGUACAUAUAUAUAUUUUUUAAAUAGGUUACCUGAAAUCUUUUCUGAAAAUAAAGGUGGUAUAAAUGUACCAAAAAUUAAUAUAGGUACACAUAAAAUUAAAUAAUUAUUUUAGACAAAAUUAAAAUACUGUUUAAAUUAUGAGAAUUUUUCAGAAGACCCCAAGUAAGGAUACAAGAUAAAAAUUAGGAAAAAAAUACCAAAAAUGUUAGAGAUUAAUAUCAGACUUAGCAGAUUCCUACAGAAGCAAAUGAAUAAUCCAAAGUUUAACCCUCCUGGGCUCAUUGUCCUUUAUCAAGUUAUGAAACAAAACAUGUUUUUUUAAACCAUAAAACUCCUAUAUUCUGUUUUGGGAAAAAUCUUUUUUUUUCUUUUCUUUUUUUUUUUUUUUUUCCAUUUUUGGCCACCCUGCAGCAAAUGGAAGUUCCCAGGCCAAGCAUCAGAUCUAUACUGCAGUUGUAACCUAAGCUGCAGCUGUGGCAAUGCCAGAUCCUUAACCCACUGUGCUGGGCUGGGGAUGGAACCUGUGUCCCAGCGCUCACAAAACAUCGCCAAUCCAACUGCGCCACAGUGGGAACUCCAGGAAAAAUCUUUCUAAUCGAGAUCUCUCUUAAGAAUGUGGACCAUUCAGUCCAACCCGCCAAUGUAAGUGACCUGUCCUUUCUCUGUGCUCCCUUGGAGCCCUGUCUAGACAACUGGCAUUGCGCCUGUAACACUGCACUUCACAAAGCACAGUGAGAACCUCAAAGUUGUAGCACAAAGAAGUAUUUGUUGAGGACACGAAUUGCUUGAUGAGAGGAGGAGCAGAACAUUACCUUUCACAUCAGAAUCUGAUUCUUUGUGUCUCUGAGCUAAACGUCCUUUAUCACAAACCUAGUGGAACACAGAACCAGAGGAAAACACUAUGUUAUAAACAUGAAAAUGAGGCAUAUUUCCUAUAUAUGAUUAUGAUCAUUUUCAACAUUUCUAAUUUAAACCUCAUCGUCCUCAUAUUUAUUUGAGGUUUAUUUAUUUACUUAUGGAGGUUCCCAGGCUAGGGGUUUGACUUGGAACUGUAGCUGCCCAGCCUACACCACAGCCACAGCAACAUGAGAUCCGAGUGGCAUCUGCGACCUACACCACAGCUCACUGCAACACCAGAUCCUUAACCCACUGAGCAGGGCCAGGAAUUGAACCCAUGUCCUUAUGGAUAGUCGUCGGUCUUGUUAACCACUGAGUCAUGACAAAAACUCCUAAUCCUCAUAGAUUUAGAAUGGAUAAAAAUAGUCUUUUAUAUCAGAACCUUCUCAGAUAAGUGUGAAAUAAGUGAAAAUAUACAAAACUGUAUGAAAGCAUAGAUUAUAAAACUGCUUAUAUGGGAAAGUUGAAAAAUAUUUUCUUGUAGCGUAUUAAAAAAGUUCACAGUAAGUAAGAAGGAUCAUACACAUGACAUUGCUGACUAUCUUGAAAGGAGACAUCUUGCCAGUAUGACCCAGUUGGACUGAACGAGACACAGAACACUAUAGAAUGGUGACUGCUCAUCUUGAGCAGUCCGCUAAUCAUUAUGUGACCAUGAAACACUUUAAAAGCUUCCAAACGUUUGUUUCUACAUCUGUGCUCUGUGGAGAGUAUAAAGAAUUUUCUAAGAGUCUGAGAAUUAGAAAUCAAAAUGUACAAAUAUUACUAUAAUAAUAUGCUGUAAAGAAGAGAAUUAAAUGUUAUGAGGAAUGCUAAAAGUAGAAAAGUACAAACAUGCAUGAAUGCAUGUAUACUGAUACACUGAUAAAAAUCUGAAUAAGCUCUGUGGACUGUAUCAAUGUCAAUUUCAUGGUGUUGACAGAAUAUGAUAAUGUAUGCAAGAUGCUAACCCUGGGAGAAAAAAAGUAAAGGAUGUAGGGGAACUCCUGUACAUGUAUUUAUGUUACGACUUUGUGGGGAUCUAUAAUUAUUUUGAAAUAAAAAGUAAAAAAAUUAAGG